CUUCAAUUGAGUUCAGCUAGGAAACUCACUGAAUCAGACCAACAACUUAAAUUUCAAUUCCACAAAGGCCCUCUUCUAACCGGUAAAAUUUCUGUAAACCUUAUUUGGUAUGGAAAAUUCAAACCAUCUCAACGAGCGAUCAUAACUGAUUUCAUAACCUCGUUGUCUUCUCCCAUAAAACCAAAAACCACAACACAACCAUCGGUUGCCACGUGGUGGAAAUCAACUGAAAAAUAUUACCAACUCACUAACAACAAGAAAUCAGUUAACCUAGCUCUAUCACUAGGUACUCAAAUUUUGGACGAGAAAUACUCUUUAGGAAAAUCUCUCACAACUAACCAAAUCCUUAAACUCGCAUCAAAAGGACAACAACAAAACGCCAUCAACGUUGUCCUAACAGCCGCUGAUGUGUUAGUUGACGGUUUUUGUUCAAGUAGGUGUGGAACCCAUGGUUCUUCUUAUGGUGCACGCGUGAAUGGAAAGAGAAACAAGUUCGCAUACAUUUGGGUUGGAAAUUCAGAGACACAAUGUGCUGGUCAAUGCGCGUGGCCAUUUCAUCAACCAAUUUAUGGUCCACAAAGUGCUCCGUUGGUUGCACCAAAUAACGAUGUGGGUCUUGACGGAAUGGUUAUAAAUGUUGCUAGUCUUUUAGCUGGAACCGUAACCAAUCCUUUUGGUAACGGUUAUUUUCAAGGACCAAAAGAAGCUCCUUUGGAAGCUGCUUCGGCUUGCACCGGUGUUUAUGCUAAAGGAGCUUAUCCUGGUUAUGCUGGGGACCUUUUGGUGGACAAAACAAGUGGUGCUAGCUACAACGCUAAUGGUGAUAAUGGAAGGAAGUAUUUGUUGCCUGCUAUUGUUGAUCCUAAAACUUCAGCUUGUUUUACAUUGGUAUAAAGAAUAAUUGUUUUGUUGUUAGGCAAUGAGAGAUUCUUUGAUUUAUUCAUUCAAUUAGUUGUUAUAACCUCGAAAUUAAUCUUUUAUUCUUUGAUUCUUUUUAAUCUUAAUAAAUAAAUAAUAUCAAUAUUAUUAUAUUGUCCUCCAUACAUGCAACACAUGUACAGACGGACGACGGUGCACAUGGCAUACUCUAUCCAUCUCAACGAUAAACAUUCACACAAAUCAAAUUUUAUUGAAUGAAGCAAAGAUAUCAUAAUUUUACCAUUGUAGUCUUACUAUAUAUCCUGAUGCAUAAUAAAUAGAAAGUGAAAAGAAAAAAAAAUAGAACGUGAAAAAUUGAGUUGAGAGUUAUGAUGAGAUUUGCAUGAAGCUUAUAGUUGGCCAGUUGACUAUGAAUGUGACUAAUACACCGUUCAAUUCCAAAUCAAGCUACUUAAUAUUAUUAUAAUUUUUUUUCCUUUUUUUGGUAUUAAAUUUAAUUUUUCCAUUUUUUUUUCUUUUUAAAAGAAAGAGUUGGGGAGUGUUGAAGCACAUAGUAUAAAUUAAAUGGUAAAAUUGAAAAAGAGAUAGUUAAUAUUAUACUGAAAAUUGAAAUAAUACUCGAUUUUAGAUAAACUUCUUUGGCAAAUGUCCCACUCAUAAUGUGACACAAUGAUUAUUUUGAAUGAUUUUUUUUUUUUUAAGAAAUUAUUUCAAUGACUAAAUAAUUCAAUUUCUUGAUGAUAUCAUCGUAAGUAGACAUGACAACACAACCCGUCCCCAUUGGAUCCCACCCACCCCGUCCCGAUUUUAAUGGGGAAAAGCCGAAUUGGUUAUGGGUGCGGGUUUGGAGAAAACCCGGAGUUUUAAUACGGGGGCGGGGGAUACUCACACUCGCCCUCGCCCCGUUUUUUUAAAUUACUAUUUUUAUCCUUAUUUUUUAUAGUCAUAUUACUCAUAUACCCUUCUUAAUCUUAACAUAGAAGCUUUUGUUUUAAUUAUCUUGCCACUAAACAUAUUUUUUCACGAUGAUGUUAUGAUCUCUAAUGAAUUUAGAAGCUUUUGUUAUUAGCUCUUUUUGUUAUUGUGAAAAAAUAAAAUAAAAAAUUGUCUACAAUUUUCGCGGGUGGGGUUGGGGAAAUCCGUCCCCGUUGGGGCAGGUCCGGGUGUAAAAUUUCUAUCCAGACGGGUUUGGGGGUGGGGGCGGGGCUGGGUACAAUGAAACAGGGACGGGGCCGGGUAUGUUAAAACUUGCCCCCGCCCCGUUGCCAUGUUUAAUUGUAAGAUCAUGUAAAUUAAUUUUUUUCCGUGAAUUUAGUUCAGUUGAUAAGGACAAUGCAUAAUAUAGAUAAGAUUCGAUUUUUCAGACAAAAAAAAAAAAAAAACUAAUUUAUUUCCAAAAACAACCCUUAAAAUAUUACUAAAGAAGUAAAUUUGUAUGGAUAAAUGGCGUUAAUUUCAUAAUUCCAACUUCAACUAAUGCAUAUGCAAUGGUUUAUAUAAAAAAGGUUGCCUUUUCUUGUCGAAAAAUAUAAUAGAGAUUAUCUUUAAAAAAAAAAUAAUGUUAAGGGUUCAGUUUAAAAUUAUAAUCUUUAUCAUUAUUGUCAAUAUUAAUUUUUUUAUCAAGUAGGUUAGUGUUAGAAUUUCAUCUUUAAAAUGCAUAAGUCGUGAAUCCAAAAUUCACACCAUAUCAACUAAGUUAUGCUCACGAAGACUCUUUAUUAUCAAUAUUACUCACAAAACAUUUCAUCAUAGUUGAUCCAUAAUAGAAUCCUCGCAAUUACUACCAUAUUCAAUAUACAACUACUAUUAAAAAAAAGUGAAGAAUUCACCAACACCCCUUCAUUUUGGAACCUCUAGAUCAACAGGCUAAUGCCAUGUUAGAGUCGAACUUAACGAUGGAUACGUCACCUAGUACAACUCAACAGUCUUUGGUGACGGUUCAAGAAACAGAUACGAAUGCUACUCUUAGGCAUUCUGAGGCGUCAAUUCAUCCGACUCUACAAAAGGAAAUUGAUCUUGUUCAGCAUUUGUUGAUUCAAAGAAAAAUGUUGAGGUGCCAUUUACGCAUUAUCUUACAAAAGGUCAAAAAUAGAAAAUUAGCAAGGCAACAUAUCACACCCGAUCUAUGAAUUCCCCUAUAGAACCGAAGGGUGGUUGAGCAGCCUCUUUUUCUUUUGGGCCAUUUUUUUCUUUCUUCGUUUAGUUUUUUUUUGUUUUUUUCUCUUACUUUCUUUCGGUUUUGUUUUGAGGGUUUUGGUUUAGCCCCCUCUUGUAUAGUUUCUUUCUUUUUUAUUUAUAUUAUGAGUGGGUGGCAGUGUAAGGCUUUCUUGAGAUGCCAACGGUGUUGUGAUGUCCGAAUGAUCCACUCGAAAAUCAGUUGUUAGAAUUAACAGGUCUUCAAAUCGUUCAUUUAAAAAAAAGGAAACCCGAUUUUUCAAACUCUCAUUGUUGUUUUAACUCGCUCUAUUUUAUUGAAAAAAAAUAAAAUACAUUUACACUUUGCAAGACUAUAUCUAUGUGUUUGUGUCUUGUUAGACUUUGUAGAUCUCUUGUUAUUUGUUAAUAACUUGAUAAUUUUAAUUUAUCUGUAUAUUUAUGUUUUUUUUUUUCUUCCAUGUCUUGCUAAUAUAUAAGCAUUUGUGUUUGACCAUAAAGUUUAUUAAAGAUUUUAGUAUUUUUCAAUAACAUUUUUAACUUACUAAAAUGUAUUUUCUAUUUAUAUACACGUUUAUUUGUUUUGAUAACUAUUUUAUUGGUGCAAAAUAUCUACCAAUAAUAUUAAUGAUUAUUCUCCGCUUCAGAACCUAUUUUUCAAAUUCAAGGGAUCUCCUCUCGGAACAACAUAUUUUUCAUCCACCGUGCGUGGAUCUGAGACCUUAAGAGAUCCGAGUAAAAUUCCACAAAGACCAACAUAAUGUUAGUGUGUAUAUAUUUAUUGAGUGUAGCUACCGAUAGUUGAUGCUUAUUCUGCGAAACUAGAAUUUUCAAUGACAUCUAUUUGUUUUAAUUAAUAUUACAUAUAUAGAGACUCAAUAAUAAUUUUAUGUGUUCUAAAUUUCUACAUGAUCCUAUCUUUGUUGUUUUGUCUAGUUUUCCACUCGUGCCGAAUUUAAUUGAGCAGUGUUGACAACACUUUUGUUUUAACAUUCUCUUCAACAUUUACUUUUUUAUUUGCUUAAAUCAAAUAGGUGUCACACUUUAAAAUUGAAUUACACUUGUUAUGGUCAUAUAUUAACGUCAUCCAAUAAAAAAAUAAGUGUUGAUGAGAAUGUUGAAAAUAAAGUGUCAUCAAAAUUUCUUAUUUUAAUUUGAACAUGUUGUGUUUAAAUCUCAUUUUUCACAACAAAUGUGAUGUUUUACCGAUACCCUAAUGUGUGUACGAGGGUAUGAAGGUAAGACUAAGAACUAAGAAACUAUACGGUAUAUAUACUUUAUCUCAUUUUUUGUUACAUUGCAUCAAAAACCCACAUGAUAUGUCAUGUUAGCCAUGUCAUCUAACUUAGAUUGAAAGAUGAAAUUAAAGACUAAACCAAUGGGGGCUAUUCAGAGAAAUUUAUUGGAUCAUCUUAUGUCGUUUUGUGGGUUAGGGGGUAUGUCAAAAAUGUUCGGGUGGCUCUUAACAUCAUUUGGGUUUUGGAUGUGUGGGGUUAUUUAGCACCAGAGAAAUAGACUCAAAUUCAAUCAUAAGGAGGAAUAUUUGCAAUCUUAUGCGAAAAAGUUAAGCUUUAAUCAUUUUCGUGGUUGAAAUUAAGAUAUAUUACUUUCGAUUUCGAUUAUCAUUUUUUGAGGCUUAAUCAUAUUCAUUGCCUAACUGUUCUAACUUAGCUUAUUGUAUCUUCUUUUGUUUUGUUUAUCUUGUAAAGUUAAGUCGUUUCUGAUACAUCUUGUGCUGAAAGAUUUGUUUUGGUUGGUAAUUUAUAUAUUUCAUUUUGGUCUCUUAGAAAAAACUAACAAUGGGGAUAUAGGGAUUAAAAAAAUUGUUAAAAAAACAUAGGGAUAAGAUCUAAAAUAGAGAAUUGAAUGACUAAAAUUGGCUAUUUACAUAAGUAUACGUAUGGAAGUUUUGCAAAUGUCCUUUUAACCUUAAAACUUAUCUUAACAUUGAUGAGUCUGAAUCUCAACUCUCGUAAACUUUUAUGUAAAAAAAAAAAAAAAAAAACACAAAUGGAGAAAAUAUAAAGACAUUACCUAAAACAAGUGAAGAUUAAAAUUGCACAUUCUCAAUACAAUCAAAUUAAGUGCAAUUUUCUUAAAUUAUACUUCAUAUAUCGCUAAUUAUAAGAUCUGUUUUAUUUUUAAAGGUCUAAUUAUAAGAUUUGUUACAAAAAUUUGUUUGUCCCUUAAUACAAAAGUAUCUAUAAAUUUUGGGGUAAUAGUCCCUUUGGUCCAUUAAUUUGUAAUGAGCAGUUACAAUGAUCCUUAAAUGUAUAAAAGUAUCAAAAUAGUCUAUGAUUGUGCAAUUUGUUAGUCAAAAUAGUCUUUGAUGUUAAAAUACUUCAUUAAUAUUGUCAUAUUACCCCGUCAAUAUACUUACUUAUUGUCAUAUCAGUCUUUAUAAAUACUUAAUUAUUGUCAUUUUAAUCCUUAUAUGAAAAGAGUUAUUGUGAACGUACAUUGAGAGAUUACUUUAGCGCCAGAGACCAUUUUGAGUAACAGAGUGCACAAUCAGAGACUAUUUUAAAAUUUUGAUAUAUCGAGAGACUAUUGUGACUACUCAUUACACAUUCAAGAACCAAAUGAUUAUCCCAUAAAUUUUUAAAUACAUUGAUUAUUUUUUUUCUAAAUAUCUAUUAUUAAUACAACCACUCUAUCUUAGAAUAUAAAAAAUAUUUACAUUGAAAGUAUUUAUACAACAAGAUAUUUUAUAAUAGUUAGAGACAUUUGGAACAAAUUUAUUCUUUCUUAUAACUUUUCUUAGCAUGAUUUUUAUAAGAGAUGGAUAGAAUAAAAGUGAUUGAUCAUCAAUCACGCAAAAGAAAAGUUGUUACGCUCUUCCAUGGACAAUGGACCCAAAAGCUAGUGGCAUACCUUGUACAAAGGAUACACAGCUUUGUCGUUUGGUUUCAUACAUGUGCUGUUAAUUGUCCCAAAUCUAUGAAUUCAUGCAAACUGGAAUAAUAAAAUAUCAACGCGUAAUAUAGCUGGCACAUCCUCCACUCACCCUCCAACAUAAUUUGACUUCAACUAUAUACCUUUCUAUUUUACACGUUAAUUAAUUCCUUUUAAAUACACUUUCCACUAUAUAUAUACCUACAACCCCAUCUUACAUUUCCAUCAGCACAUAACAUUUCCACAUUCCUUCUACUUCAUACUUUGUUCUAUCUCAAUACAUAUCCCAAAUGGCAUCUUUUAAGUUAAGUGCAAUCUUUACUCUUUUUCUCACAAUUUCACUACUUCAUUUAAUCUCAGCUGCUAGAAAAUUCACUGAAUCAGACCAACAACUUAAAUUUCAAUACCACAAAGGCCCUCUUCUCACCGGAAAAAUCUCAAUCAACCUCAUUUGGUAUGGAAAAUUCAAACCAUCUCAACGAGCCAUCAUAACUGAUUUCAUAACCUCCCUCUCUUCUCCUAAACAAGGAACAACCACAUCACAACCAUCCGUUGCCACGUGGUGGAAAUCAACCGAAAAAUAUUACCAACUCGCGAACAAUAAGAAAUCAGUUAACCUAGCUCUCUCACUAGGUUCUCAAAUUCUCAAUGAGAAUUACUCAUUAGGAAAAUCUCUCACAACUAACCAAAUCCUUAAACUCGCAUCAAAAGGACAACAACAAAACGCCAUCAACGUUGUCCUAACAGCCGCUGAUGUGUUAGUUGACGGUUUUUGUUCAAGUAGGUGUGGAACACAUGGUUCUUCUUAUGGUGCACUCGUAAAUGG
rnacentral:lncRNA from 1 species